CACGUAGGGUGCGAGCGUUGUCCGGAAUUAUUGGGCGUAAAGAGCUCGUAGGCGGUGUGUCGCGUCGGCCGUGAAAACCUGCAGCUUAACUGUGGGCUUGCGGUCGAUACGGGCAUCACUGGAGUUCGGCAGGGGAGACUGGAAUUCCUGGUGUAGCGGUGAAAUGCGCAGAUAUCAGGAGGAACACCGGUGGCGAAGGCGGGUCUCUGGGCCGUUACUGACGCUGAGACGCGAAAGCGUGGGGAGCAAACAGG
rnacentral:rRNA from 1 species